UACGUAGGGUGCGAGCGUUUGUCCGGAAUUAUUGGGCGUAAAGAGCUCGUAGGCGGCUUGUCGCGUCGGAUGUGAAAAGCCCCGGGGGCUUUAACCCCGGGUCUGCAUUCGAUACGGGCAGGCUAGAGUUCGGUAGGGGAGAUCGGAAUUCCUGGUGUAGCGGUGAAAUGCGCAGAUAUCAGGAGGAACACCGGUGGCGAAGGCGGAUCUCUGGGCCGAUACUGACGCUGAGGAGCGAAAGCGUGGGGAGCGAACAGG
rnacentral:rRNA from 1 species